UUUGAUCCUGGCUCAGGAUGAACGCUGGCGGCGUGCCUAAUACAUGCAAGUCGAGCGAACAGAUAAGGAGCUUGCUCCUUUGACGUUAGCGGCGGACGGGUGAGUAACACGUGGGUAACCUACCUAUAAGACUGGGAUAACUUCGGGAAACCGGAGCUAAUACCGGAUAAUAUUUCGAACCGCAUGGUUCGAUAGUGAAAGAUGGUUUUGCUAUCACUUAUAGAUGGACCCGCGCCGUAUUAGCUAGUUGGUAAGGUAACGGCUUACCAAGGCAACGAUACGUAGCCGACCUGAGAGGGUGAUCGGCCACACUGGAACUGAGACACGGUCCAGACUCCUACGGGAGGCAGCAGUAGGGAAUCUUCCGCAAUGGGCGAAAGCCUGACGGAGCAACGCCGCGUGAGUGAUGAAGGUCUUCGGAUCGUAAAACUCUGUUAUUAGGGAAGAACAUACGUGUAAGUAACUAUGCACGUCUUGACGGUACCUAAUCAGAAAGCCACGGCUAACUACGUGCCAGCAGCCGCGGUAAUACGUAGGUGGCAAGCGUUAUCCGGAAUUAUUGGGCGUAAAGCGCGCGUAGGCGGUUUUUUAAGUCUGAUGUGAAAGCCCACGGCUCAACCGUGGAGGGUCAUUGGAAACUGGAAAACUUGAGUGCAGAAGAGGAAAGUGGAAUUCCAUGUGUAGCGGUGAAAUGCGCAGAGAUAUGGAGGAACACCAGUGGCGAAGGCGACUUUCNGGUCUGUAACNGACGCNNA
rnacentral:rRNA from 1 species